UACGUAGGGUGCGAGCGUUAAUCGGAAUUACUGGGCGUAAAGCGUGCGCAGGCGGUUCGUUAAGUCCGAUGUGAAAGCCCCGAGCUCAACUUGGGAAUGGCAUUGGAAACUGGCGGGCUGGAGUGUGGCAGAGGGGGGUGGAAUUCCACGUGUAGCAGUGAAAUGCGUAGAGAUGUGGAGGAACACCGAUGGCGAAGGCAGCCCCCUGGGCCAACACUGACGCUCAGGCACGAAAGCGUGGGGAGCAAACAGG
rnacentral:rRNA from 1 species